UGCCACCACCAGAGCCACCACCAGAUAAGUUGGUAACCCUGUCGCUAAGCCACGUCUGCCCGGACCAUAAACAAGUUAAACGUUGUGGGUGACUGUCGUCUUGCCCAUCAUAUUGUGUUGAAGUAGCCUCCAUAACCUUUUUAUAUGAGUUAAAUUAACCUAGGAAGAUAUUUACAAUGGGAGAGGUGGAUCCAAACAAGGACAUCGUCCACCCACCAUCACUUACGCAGCAGAAUCCCUGGGUGAUCUCCUAUUUGGUUACAUCAG